rnacentral:rRNA from 1 species
AGAGUUUGAUCCUGGCUCAGAUUGAACGCUGGCGGCAUGCUUUACACAUGCAAGUCGAACGGCAGCACGGGGGCAACCCUGGUGGCGAGUGGCGAACGGGUGAGUAAUGCAUCGGAACGUACCGUGUAAUGGGGGACAACGAAUCGAAAGAUUCGCUAAUACCGCAUACGCCCUUCGGGGGAAAGUGGGGGAUCGCAAGACCUCACGUUAUACGAGCGGCCGAUGCCGGAUUAGCUAGUUGGUGGGGUAAAGGCUCACCAAGGCGACGAUCCGUAGCUGGUCUGAGAGGACGACCAGCCACACUGGGACUGAGACACGGCCCAGACUCCUACGGGAGGCAGCAGUGGGGAAUUUUGGACAAUGGGGGCAACCCUGAUCCAGCCAUGCCGCGUGAGUGAAGAAGGCCUUCGGGUUGUAAAGCUCUUUCGGCCGGGACGAAAUUGCCACUUUUAAUACAGAUGGUAGAUGACGUACCGGCAUAGA